GGGGUUGUAGCUCAGGGGUAGAGCUCUUGCCUUCCAUGUGUGACCCUGUGUUCAAUCCUCAGCACCCCA
rfam:Ictidomys tridecemlineatus contig073412, whole genome shotgun sequence.